rnacentral:rRNA from 1 species
CAUGCAGGCGGUUAGACAAGUCAGAUGUGAAAUCCCCGCGCUUAACGUGGGCAUUGCAUUUGAAACUGUUUAGCUAGAGUUCUGUAGAGGGGGGUAGAAUUCCAGGUGUAGCGGUGAAAUGCUUAGAUAUUACAUGGAAUACCAAUUGCGAAGGCAGGUUACUAACAAACGAUUGACGCUGAUGGACGAAAGCGUGGGGAGCGAACAGGAUUAGAUACCCGCGUA